rnacentral:rRNA from 1 species
UACGUAGGGGGCAAGCGUUGUCCGGAUUUAUUGGGCGUAAAGAGCGUGUAGGCGGCCAAGUAAGUCUGCUGUGAAAACUCGAGGCUUAACCUCGAGCUGUCGGCGGAAACUAUUUGGCUAGAGUCCGGAAGAGGAGAGUGGAAUUCCUGGUGUAGCGGUGAAAUGCGCAGAUAUCAGGAAGAACACCCGUGGCUAAGGCGGCUCUCUAGUACGGUACUGACGCUGAGACGCGAAAGCGUGGGGAGCGAACAGG